rnacentral:rRNA from 1 species
CGUAGGGUGCGAGCGUUGUCCGGAAUUACUGGGCGUAAAGAGCUCGUAGGCGGUUUGUCGCGUCGUCCGUGAAAACUUGGGGCUCAACCCCAAGCUUGCGGGCGAUACGGGCAGACUUGAGUACUGCAGGGGAGACUGGAAUUCCUGGUGUAGCGGUGAAAUGCGCAGAUAUCAGGAGGAACACCGGUGGCGAAGGCGGGUCUCUGGGCAGUAACUGACGCUGAGGAGCGAAAGCGUGGGUAGCAAACAGGAUUAGAUACCCUGGUAGUCCACGCCGUAAACGGUGGGCGCUAGGUGUGGGUUUCCUUCCACGGGAUCCGUGCCGUAGCUAACGCAUUAAGCGCCCCGCCUGGGGAGUACGGCCGCAAGGCU